AGUGGCCAUGCACCAAGAAGUUGGUACUCUCCUGGUACACAAACACAGAGCUUCAGCAUCCAGGAGAACUCUGGUUUCCUGACACCAUAUUAUCAGCACUUCAAGUCUGUCAGGGUCAUGGCAACAAGUCUUGAGGGGAAAGAGAACCAAAUAUGGCAGUAAUCAAGGAAGCCACACCCAGAGGAGUUGGCUUCAAAAUGCCACAUCCAACUGGUAGGAUAAGGAAAAAGUUCCAGCUUCACUCUAUUCAUAGUUUGUCGAUCUUUGGCAUGCUCAGAAUGUGGGCCUUUGGC
rnacentral:lncRNA from 1 species